GUGGGGAAUUUUGGACAAUGGGCGCAAGCCUGAUCCAGCAAUGCCGCGUGCAGGAAGAAGGCCUUCGGGUUGUAAACUGCUUUUGUACGGAACGAAACGGUCCGGGUUAAUACCCUGGGCUAAUGACGGUACCGUAAGAAUAAGCACCGGCUAACUACGUGCCAGCAGCCGCGGUAAUACGUAGGGUGCAAGCGUUAAUCGGAAUUACUGGGCGUAAAGCGUGCGCAGGCGGUUUUGUAAGACAGGCGUGAAAUCCCCGGGCUCAACCUGGGAAUUGCGCUUGUGACGGCAAGGCUGGAGUGCGGCAGAGGGGGAUGGAAUUCCGCGUGUAGCAGUGAAAUGCGUAGAUAUGCGGAGGAACACCGAUGGCGAAGGCAAUCCCCUGGGCCUGCACUGACGCUCAUGCACGAAAGCGUGGGGAGCAAACAGGAUUAGAAACCCUAGUAGUCC
rnacentral:rRNA from 1 species